rnacentral:rRNA from 1 species
AACGAACGCUGGCGGCAUGCCUAACACAUGCAAGUCGAACGAAAACUCCGGGCCUUGGGGCGCACGGCUGCGUAACGCGUGGGAAGCUGCACGUGGGUUCGGAAUACCUCUCCGAAAGGGAUGCUAAUACCGGAUAAGGUCUUCGGACCAAAGAUCUAUCGCCUCUGGAUGGGCGCGCGUUGGAUUCGCUAGUUGGUAGGGUAAUAGCCUACCAAGGCGAGGAUCCUUAGCUGGUCAGAGAGGAUGAUCAGCCACACUGGAACUGGGACACGGCCCAGACUCCUACGGAAGGCAGCAGAGGGGAAUAUUGGAAGAUGGGCGAAAGCCUGAAGCAGCAAUGCGGGGGAAGUGAUGAAGGCCUUAGAGUUGUAAAGCUCUUUUACCCGGGAUGAUAAUGACGGUACCGGGAGAAUAAGCACCGGCUAACUCCGUG